CAGCCCCCCGAGUGGUGGGGAUGAUUAUUUGGCCUAAAGCGUCCGUAGCCGGCUCUGUAAAUCUCUCGUUAAAUCCAGCGUCCUAAGCGUUGGGCUGCGAGGGAGACUGCAGAGCUAGAGGGUGGGAGAGGUCAGCGGUAUUCCUGGGGUAGGGGCGAAAUCCAUUGAUCCCAGGAGGACCACCAGUGGCGAAGGCUGCUGACUAGAACACGCCUGACGGUGAGGGACGAAAGCUGGGGUAGCGAAUCGGAUUAGAUACCCGAGUAGUCC
rnacentral:rRNA from 1 species